rfam:Methanobrevibacter curvatus strain DSM 11111 MBCTR_contig000181, whole genome shotgun sequence.
GGACCGGUGGUCUAGGGGUAUGAUACCGCCUUGACAUGGCGGUGAUCACGAGUUCGAAUCUCGUCCGGUCCA